rnacentral:rRNA from 1 species
CGUGUCGUGAGAUGUUGGGUUAAGUCCCGCAACGAGCGCAACCCUCGCCUUUAGUUGCCAUCACGUUUGGGUGGGCACUCUAAAGGAACUGCCGGUGACAAGCCGGAGGAAGGUGGGGAUGACGUCAAGUCCUCAUGGCCCUUAUGUCCUGGGCUACACACGUGCUACAAUGGCGGUGACAGUGGGAAGCCAGGUGGUGACACCGAGCCGAUCUCAAAAAGCCGUCUCAGUUCGGAUUGCACUCUGCAACUCGAGUGCAUGAAGGUGGAAUCGCUAGUAAUCGCGGAUCAGCAUGCCGCGGUGAAUACGUUUCCCGGGA